rnacentral:rRNA from 1 species
GACGAAGGGGGCUAGCGUUGUUCGGAAUUACUGGGCGUAAAGCGAGUGUAGGCGGUUGCCAAAGUCAGGUGUGAAAGCCUUGAGCUCAACUCAAGAAAUGCACUUGAUACUUGGUGACUAGAGUACCGGAGAGGAUAGUGGAAUUCCCAGUGUAGUGGUGAAAUACGUAGAGAUUGGGAAGAACACCAGUGGGCGAAGGCGGCUAU